GAGAAAUAUAAAGACAAUGAGAAAUAUAUCUCCUACUGCAAAGACUUAACACCCACACAUCCCAAUGACCAGGAGGAGUCAUUUAAGGAUCGGGUGGAGGGGAUGGACUGUAGCAAUAUCAGCGGCACCGUCUCAGUAACUUUGAAGAACCUGACCAGAAACGACAGUGGGACAUACGAGCUUCAAGGGGUGGACCAUGGUGGACGGCUCUUUAAUAAAACUGUCUUCCUCAACGUUACUGACCCAGGUCACACAGGAGGAGGGAAGAACAAUGGAGACAGUAGAGGACAUCUUGGACUAUCCAACGACAUCUAGAACAUGAAAUCACGAUAGUGACGUUUGUAUCUAGUUAAAUCCUAGAACCUCAACAGGGCAAUAGUAAUGAAACAGCUUUCCUGAGGACAUGGGCUGCCUUGAGUACAAUGGCACCAGAUGGGCUAGGUCAGCCUGGAGUGCAGGUACACCGCCUAGAGCCACCUAGCAGCAGCUGAAAGGAUCAUUUAGCAGACCAGCUGGUGCCACAGGAGUGAGGAGGCCUCACAUUUGUACCUUGAGGAAUCAACAAGAGUCAUCAGCGCACCAAAGUUUAAUGGAAAUUGGGACCCACUGAGACAGAGAAUUCCUGUGGACCUGCCUGAACUGAAGCUUUGGAUUCACUAACUGGAAGUCCUUCUGUUGUCACAUUCUGUUGUUACUUCACUGUAAAUAAAC
ensembl:lncRNA